rnacentral:rRNA from 1 species
CUGUUUAUCAAAAACAUUGCCUUUUGACUUUUGAUAAAAGGUACAUCCUGCCCAGUGAAAAUUUUCAACGGCCGCGGUACCCUGACCGUGCAAAGGUAGCAUAAUCAUUUGCCUUUUAAUUGGAGGCUAGUAUGAACGGACAAAUGAAGAUUAAGCUGUCUCCCUAGAAAACCUAAAAAUUAAUCUUCAGGUGAAGAAGCCUGAAUAACAAUAAAAGACAAGAAGACCCUAUUGAGCUUUACUUUAAUCCUAAAUAUUCUUAAUAAUUUUAUUUAAUAUCUUCAAGGAAUAAAGUUUGGUUGGGGCGACAAAGGAAUAUAAAAACCUUCCUUAAUAUUUAAAACCUAUAAGUAACAAUGACCCGAUUUAAUCGAUUAAAAGAAAAAGCUACCAUAGGGAUAACAGACUAAUCCUUCUAAAGAGCCCACAUUGAUAGAAGGGAUUGGCACCUCGAUGUUGGCUUAGAAUACCCUUUCGGUGCAGCAGCCGUAAAAGGUUGGUUUGUUCAACCAUAAAAAUUCUACGUGAUCUGAGU